UACGGAGGAUCCAAGCGUUAUCCGGAUUUAUUGGGUUUAAAGGGUGCGUAGGCGGUUUGAUAAGUUAGAGGUGAAAUGUUAGGGCUUAACCCUGAAACUGCCUCUAAUACUGUUGAGCUAGAGAGUAGUUGCGGUAGGCGGAAUGUAUGGUGUAGCGGUGAAAUGCUUAGAUAUUGCGCAGAACUCCGAUUGCGAAGGCAGCAUACCGGCGGCGAUCUGACGCUGAGGCACGAAAGCGUGGGUAUCGAACAGG
rnacentral:rRNA from 1 species